GACGAACGCUGGCGGCGUGCUUAACACAUGCAAGUCGAACGGUGAAGGGGCCUGCUUUUGUUGGUCCUGGAUGAGUGGCGAACGGGUGAGUAACACGUGAGUAACCUGCCCCCUUCUUCUGGAUAACCGCAUGAAAGUGUGGCUAAUACGGGAUAUUCUGUGCCUGCUGCAUGGUGGGUGUGGGAAAGAUUGCGCCCUUUUUGGGUGUUUUUGGUGGGGGAUGGGCUCGCGGCCUAUCAGCUUGUUGGUGGGGUGAUGGCCUACCAAGGCGGUGACGGGUAGCCGGCCUGAGAGGGUGGACGGUCACACUGGGACUGAGACACGGCCCAGACUCCUACGGGAGGCAGCAGUGGGGAAUAUUGCACAAUGGGCGCAAGCCUGAUGCAGCGACGCCGCGUGAGGGAUGGAGGCCUUCGGGUUGUGAACCUCUUUCGCCAGUGAAGCAGGCCUGCUCCUUGGUGGGG
rnacentral:rRNA from 1 species